CAGUAGCCGCGGUAAUACGAAGGGUGCAAGCGUUAAUCGGAAUUACUGGGCGUAAAGCGUGCGUAGGCGGUGAGUUAAGUCUGCUGUGAAAUCCCCGGGCUCAACCUGGGAAUGGCAGUGGAUACUGGCUCGCUAGAGUGUGUCAGAGGAUGGUGGAAUUCCCGGUGUAGCGGUGAAAUGCGUAGAGAUCGGGAGGAACAUCAGUGGCGAAGGCGGCCCGCUGGACAAGUAUUGACGCUGAGGUGCGAAAGCGUGGGGAGCAAACAGGAUUAGAUACCCCAGUAGUCCCUGUCUCUUAUAC
rnacentral:rRNA from 1 species